CCUACGGAGGGCUGCCGUGGGGAAUAUUGGGCAAUGGGCGCAAGCCUGACCCAGCAACGCCGCUUGAAGGAAGAAGGCUUUCGGAUUGUACACUUCUUUUCUCAGGGACGAAGCAAGUGACGGUACCUGAGGAAUAAGCCACGGCUAACUACGUGCCAGCAGCCUCGUUAAUACGUAGGUGGCAAGCGUUAUCCGUAUUUACUGGGUGUAAAGGGCGUGUAGGCGGGGAAGCAAGUCAGAUGUGAAAACCACGGGCUCAACCUGUGGCCUGCAUUUUAAACUGUGUUUAUUGAGUACUGGAGAGGCAGACGGAAUUCCGAGUGUAGCGGUGAAAUGCGUAGAUAUUAGGAGGAACACCAGUGGCGAAGGCGGUCUGCUGGACAGCAACUGACGCUGAGGCGCGAAGGCGUGGGGAGCAAACAGGAUUAGAUACCCGGGUAGUC
rnacentral:rRNA from 1 species